rnacentral:rRNA from 1 species
GGUGGACAGGUGGUGCAUGGUUGUCGUCAGCUCGUGUCGUGAGAUGUUGGGUUAAGUCCCGCAACGAGCGCAACCCCUAUUGUUAGUUGCCAUCAUUCAGUUGGGCACUCUAGCGAGACUGCCGGUAAUAAACCGGAGGAAGGUGGGGAUGACGUCAAAUCAUCAUGCCCCUUAUGACCUGGGCUACACACGUGCUACAAUGGUUGGUACAACGAGUUGCGAGUCGGUGACGGCGAGCUAAUCUCUUAAAGCCAAUCUCAGUUCGGAUUGUAGGCUGCAACUCGCCUACAUGAAGUCGGAAUCGCUAGUAAUCGCGGAUCAGCACGCCGCGGUGAAUACGUUCCCGGGCCUU